rnacentral:rRNA from 1 species
CUUAACCGCGGAAGUGCCUUUGAAACUGUUGCUCUUGAGUCCCGGAGAGGUUGCCGGAAUUCGUGGUGUAGCGGUGAAAUGCGUAGAUAUCACGAGGAACACCAGAGGCGAAAGCGGGCAACUGGACGGGUACUGACACUGAGGCACGAAAGCGUGGGGAGCAAACAGGAUUAGAUACCCUGGUAGUCCGCGCCGUAAACGAUGGAUGCUCGCCGUUGCCUCGUCAAGGGGCAGUGGCUAAGCUAACGCGUUAAGCAUCCCGCCUGGGGAGUACGAUCGCAAGGUUGAAACUCAAAGGAAUUGACGGGGGCCCGCACAAGCGGUGGAGCAUGUGGCUUAAUUCGAUGCAACGCGAAGAACCUUACCUAGGCUCGAACGCUAGGCGACCGCCCCUGAAAGGGAGCUUUCCGCAAGGACGC